GUGCGGGUAUCUCUCUGGGAAUUCUUGUGUAUUUGAGGCUUUUUGAAGACUCAAACAAGGAACUGCAAAAACAUAGAAAAUGUGGAAAUUAGAUUAUCUUGUAGAUGCAUGCUCGGGACUGCUAUGGCUUAAGAAACCUGACCAAUGUGCCACACUUACAUGAAAUAUGUGAAGAAAGAGUACAAGAAUUAAUGCACAACUCAAGGCAUGUCUGUGAUACGCAAAGCAGCACAGAGGAGUAACA